CCCACAACCACCCCUCUCAAUGAUACAGGAGGAGAAGAAGGAGAUUAAGAGAAAAAGGAAAAGAAUUGGAGGCUGGUUUAAGUUCCUGUGACAGACACUUUGGAAAGAUCCAAUGGCAAAGGAACUGCACCUUAUUUCCUGGACAAUUGGCAUUUAGGAGAGAAUUCUGAGCAGGAGAAAUGAAUUUGGCAUCAUCAUCAUGUAGCUGGUAUUUUAAAGCAUGAGGUUGAAUGAAAUCACCAAGGAAAAGACCGGGGAGGUGGUAGACUUCUUGUAAACUUUGCACCCAGGUUAGGAUGGAUUCAGUAGAGAAGGAUGUAAAGGAUCAGGCUGAAAUCAGGAGGACUUUGUCUGAAACUGUACCCUUGCCUGAUGUCUUCUCCUUACUCUCCUGCUCUCCAAUGCCCCUCAGUUUCUCCUGGAGUACUUCCUUAAUAAAUUGCUUCCACACAAAUCCUCAUCUCAGCAUCUGUUUGUGGGGAACUUCACCUAAGACAAAAGUUAUGCUAGAUAAGCUUAGUUGCAGAAAAAAAUUAAAAUGCACAGUUCUUGCAUCCCUGAGUUUGUAGCUUGAGCCUGGUACCUGCUGUGAAUAUAAUGCAGUAUAUGCUGCAAUCAAAAUGUGUACAAAGAAAUGGCACAUGGUAUAGUGGGGGAAUCAGAAAGAGCUUCCUGGAGGAUGA
rnacentral:lncRNA from 1 species